CGACCAUGUGCGCCAAUUUCAAGCCUAUCUGCUAGAAAUUUGAUCUCUUCUGUCACGAUGGUUACAAAAUGCUGAUAGAGAUGUAUCUGCCGAAAUUAACAUUAAUCGUUGAUUUACGAGCACUGUUUUCUCAAGUAGCGGGCAGUUUGCGUGGGCCAAGUACAAUGUACUUGCACUUCCAACGGCCAAUUAAGAGAGACAGAGGAUGUUCAAAGUUCAAAAGAAGAACGCAGUUUACUGCUUUUCUUUAAAAAAAAAAAGGCAAGCAAAUGACUGAGGCUCACAAAGCGACAUGUGAAAUUUAUGGUGCUGAUUGCUUAACAGAAGCAGGAUGUGCCAAAAUUGGUUUAAAAACUUUCGUUCUGGAGAUUUUUCACUUGAAGGCAACUAUCGAUAGUAUUCUGGCUGACUACCUGAAAUUGAUGAUAAAACAACUUAAAGCCACAAAUGAAUCGAAUCCUCAUAUAACUGGGAAAGAGACUGCAAAAAGGUUAAAUGUAGCACACUCAUCAAUUGAAAAUCACAUAAGAUGCUUUGAAUUCUUUAAUAAGUUAGAUAUUCGGGUUACGUAUGAGUUGAAAGAAAUUUAUCUAAUAGAACGAUUCAAUAUUUUCGUUACGUCUUUCAAAAAGAUUGAAAUCGACCCUUAUUUGAAACGAAUUAUCACUGGUGAGGAAAAAUGGAUUGUCUACAAUAACGUUAAUCGAAAACGAUCAUUGAUCAAGUAUGAUAAAUCAGCACAAAUCACAUCGAAAGCUAACUGCACCAGAAAAGAUCAUGCUUUCAAUUUGGUGGGAUUUCAAAGGCGUUUGGUAUUUUGAGAUGCUUCCAAGCAACCAAACGAUCAACUCGGAUGUUUACUGAAAACAACUUAUGAAACUGCAGGAAGCAAUCAAAGGGAAAAGGCCAUAAUUGGCAAAUAGUAAAGGAAUCGUCUUCGACCACGACAAUGCGAUGCCUCAUUUAUAUUUAGUAACACGUACAAAAUUAUUGGAGAUUGGUUAGGAAGUGAUGUCGCAUUUCCCAGUUAGCCCGACCUUGUACCAACGGAUUACCUUUUAUUUCGAAGUUUGCAAAACUUCUUAAAUGGUGAAAUGUCAGUAAUAACGAUGACCCUGGUUGAAUUUUUGCUGAUAAAUGCCAAAAGUUCUGCGAGAGUGGAAUCAUGAAGUUAUCAGAAAGAUGGCAAAGGGUCAUCGAACAGCUUGGAAGAUAUUUGAAUGAUUAAAGUUGAUUUUUAUAUAGAAAUAAUUGAGUUUUAUUUCACACUAAAAACCGAAAUUACUUUUUUGCCAACUAGAUAAAUUGCAUUGAAGAAUAUUCUUAUGAUUUUCGUUAGUAAUUUUUCCAUCAUCUUGCAAUAAAAAAAUUACACUUAUGGCCCAGAUUAAUCUGAAAACUGGUUCGUCGACCACCGAUA